rnacentral:rRNA from 1 species
UGAACGCUGGCUGCAUGCUUAACACAUGCAAGUCGAACGGCAGCACGGGAGCUUGCUCCUGGUGGCGAGUGGCGGACGGGUGAGUAAUGCAUAGGAAUCUGCCUAGUAGUGGGGGACAACCUGGUGAAAACCAGGCUAAUACCGCAUACGACCUACGGGUGAAAGCAGGGGAUCUUCGGACCUUGCGCUAUUAGAUGAGCCUAUGUCUGAUUAGCUAGUUGGUAAGGUAAUGGCUUACCAAGGCUACGAUCAGUAGCUGGUCUGAGAGGAUGAUCAGCCACACUGGGACUGAGACACGGCCCAGACUCCUACGGGAGGCAGCAGUGGGGAAUAUUGGACAAUGGGCGAAAGCCUGAUCCAGCAAUGCAGCGUGUGUGAAGAAGGCCUGCGGGUUGUAAAGCACUUUCAGUUGGGAGGAAAAGCUGAAGCUUAAUACGCUUUAGUGUUGACGUUACCAACAGAAGAAGCACCGGCUAACUCC